rnacentral:rRNA from 2 species
GUAAACGUCGUAACAAGGUUUCCGUAGGUGAACCUGCGGAAGGAUC